GGCGAACGCUGGCGGCGCGCUUAACACAUGCAAGUCGAGCGAUGAAACUUUAACAGAACCCUUCGGGGCGAAGAUAAAGUGGAUUAGCGGCGGACGGGUGAGUAACACGUGAGUAACCUGCCUUAGACAUUGGGAUAGCCUCGGGAAACCGGGAUUAAUACCAAAUAAAAUCAUAAUGACACAUGUCAUAACGAUCAAAACUCCGGUGGUCUAAGAUGGACUCGCGUCCCAUUAGCUAGUUGGUAGAGUAAAAGCCUACCAAGGCGACGAUGGGUAGCCGGCGGGGGGGGGAAACCGGCAACUUGGGACCUGAAAGCCGCCCAAAACUCCCAGGGGGGGAGGAGGGGGGAAUUAUGGCACAUGGGGGGAAACUCGAAUGCAGCGCCGCGGGGGAAACAGAAGGGCUUUACGAGUGGAAAUUUUUUUUAUUAGGGAAAGAAAAGGCGGUUACCAAAAAAAAAAGCCCCGCCUAACUCCGAC
rnacentral:rRNA from 1 species